GGUUAAGCGACUAAGCGUACACGGUGGAUGCCCUGGCAGUCAGAGGCGAUGAAGGGCGUGCUAAUCUGCGAUAAGCGCCGGUAAGGUGAUAUGAACCGUUAUAACCGGCGAUACCCGAAUGGGGAAACCCAGUGUGACUCGUCACACUAUCAUUAACUGAAUCCAUAGGUUAAUGAGGCGAACCGGGGGAACUGAAACAUCUAAGUACCCCGAGGAAAAGAAAUCAACCGAGAUUCCCCCAGUAGCGGCGAGCGAACGGGGAGGAGCCCAGAGCCUGAAUCAGCAUGUGUGUUAGUGGAAGCGUCUGGAAAGGCGCGCGAUACAGGGUGACAGUCCCGUACACAAAAGCGCAUGUGCUGUGAGCUCGAUGAGUAGGGCGGGACACGUGGUAUCCUGUCUGAAUAUGGGGGGACCAUCCUCCAAGGCUAAAUACUCCUGACUGACCGAUAGUGAACCAGUACCGUGAGGGAAAGGCGAAAAGAACCCCGGCGAGGGGAGUGAAAAAGAACCUGAAACCGUGUACGUACAAGCAGUGGGAGCCCCACCACUAAGCCAGUGGUGAACUCCACAUACGCAUCCUUUGCUGAGGAUACGGUUAACGGAGCGAAAGCGACGUUCAACCGCAAAAGAAGCAGAGGGGGCUUAGUGGUGGGGUGACUGCGUACCUUUUGUAUAAUGGGUCAGCGACUUAUAUUCUGUAGCAAGGUUAACCGAAUAGGGGAGCCGGAGGGAAACCGAGUCUUAAU
rnacentral:rRNA from 1 species